UAAGCCAGAAAGAGGGCAGAGAUGAGGCAGGGCCACCCCAGCCCCUCAUUACGUCAUCCUUCUGGGGAGGCUGGGAUCAGCCAGGGUGUGUGGAUGGCCACUGAGCCUUGUCAGACUGCAUCUUGGCCCAGUGGGCUUGGGGCGGCCCGCUUCUUCCUCCCACCCUCCACUCUGCCCCAAGGGCCGUCUUCAGGAAGCCUGCGACCAGCAUGAGGUGGAAGGAAGGGUGCUGUUCCCACCUGUGGUUGGUCAGCCUCAAGGAAAUUAAACUCACAGCCAUUGAGUGCCUCAUUGAUUGAACAGAGCAUAUAGGUGGCAGGGUUUCGGGUGGAAAUUGGUCAUCACCACCUAGAUAUAUGAUAUCUCCAAACCUGGCUAGUGAGAAGAACUUCCUGGGGAGCUUCUUAACAUCCAGAGUCAAUAAAUCAGAUUUUCCAGCGA